CGAGUGAAGCGGGAACAGCUCAAAUUUGAAAUCUGGCCCUUGGGUCCGAGUUGUAAUUUGCAGAGGAUGCUUUUGGUGCGGUGCCUUCCGAGUUCCCUGGAACGGGACGCCUUAGAGGGUGAGAGCCCCGUACGGUUGGCCACCAAGCCUGUGUAAAGCUCCUUCGACGAGUCGAGUAGUUUGGGAAUGCUGCUCAAAAUGGGAGGUAUAUUUCUUCUAAAGCUAAAUACUGGCCAGAGACCGAUAGCGCACAAGUAGAGUGAUCGAAAGAUGAAAAGCACUUUGAAAAGAGGGUUAAAUAGCACGUGAAAUUGUUGAAAGGGAAGGAUUUAUGACCAGACUUUUUCUAGGGGGAUCAUCCGGUGUUCUCACCGGUGCACUUCCCCUAGUUGAGGCCAGCAUCGGUUUCUGUCGGGGGAUAAAAGCUUCGGGAAUGUGGCUCCCUCCGGGGAGUGUUAUAGCCCGUUGCAUAAUACCCUGACGGGGACCGAGGUUCGCGCAUUGCAAGGAUGCUGGCGUAAUGGUUAUUAAUCACCCGUCUUGAAACACGGACCAAGGAGUCGAACAUUUGUGCGAGUGUUUGGGUGUUAAACCCUCACGCGUAAUGAAAGUGAACGGAGGUGAGAGCCCCUCGGGGUGCAUCAUCGACCGAUCCUGAUGUCUUCGGAUGGAUUUGAGUAAGAGCAUAACUGUUCGGACCCGAAAGAUGGUGAACUAUGCGUGGAUAGGGUGAAGCCAGAGGAAACUCUGGUGGAGGCUCGCAGCGGUUCUGACGUGCAAAUCGAUCGUCAAAUCUGC
rnacentral:rRNA from 1 species